rnacentral:rRNA from 1 species
AACGAACGCUGGCGGCAGGCCUAACACAUGCAAGUCGAGCGCACCUUCGGGUGAGCGGCGGACGGGUGAGUAACGCGUGGGAAUAUGCCCUUCUCUACGGAAUAGCCUCGGGAAACUGAGAGUAAUACCGUAUACGCCCUUCGGGGGAAAGAUUUAUCGGAGAAGGAUUAGCCCGCGUUGGAUUAGGUAGUUGGUGGGGUAAUGGCCUACCAAGCCGACGAUCCAUAGCUGGUUUGAGAGGAUGAUCAGCCACACUGGGACUGAGACACGGCCCAGACUCCUACGGGAGGCAGCAGUGGGGAAUCUUAGACAAUGGGGGAAACCCUGAUCUAGCCAUGCCGCGUGAGUGACGAAGGCCUUAGGGUCGUAAAGCUCUUUCAGCUGUGAAGAUAAUGACGGUAGCAGCAGAAGAAACCCCGGCUAACUCCGUG